GACACUCAAAGACCCUGGUGCCACUCAGAGGAGCAAGCCAGGAAAUCUGCCAGCAGACCCUGGCCUGCCUUGACCCUGCCUGACAGAAGCAGGCAAAAUGGCUCCCGACAGGUAGAGCGGGCACGUCAUGAGAGCAGAACUGGUCCCGCCCCUCACCAGCUGCAGCACUCAGGAGUUACAGGCCCUGCAUCUUGCCUGGACAGCACAAUAGAACUGACCCUAGUGUCGGGAGCAUGGGCAAGCUGGUCUGUGGGCCUGAGCAUGGGAGAGGCGGUCCUGCCUCUUGUCUGCUGUGUAGUCCCUUCCCCUCCUUUUUGCCCUCACCACCUAUGGCAGGUAGGAAAGCUACCCAAGAAUCUUGAGAGUGGAAGAACUAGCCUUGUCCCUUCCUGGCUUCAGCACCCAGGAGAGCUGGUCCUGCACCUUGCCUGGACAACAGGAUAAAACUGGUUCUGGUUGUGGAGGCUACUUGUGAGUCAACCCCAAAGGCAUGAGAGUGUGAGCAGGCUAACCAGCUCAGAUCCCUCUCAGGCCCAGAUCCAGGGCUUUGAAUCAGCACACCCCAACAUCUACCCCAUCGAUGAGCUGCUGGAGUGCAUCAAUAUGCAAAGAUUUUUAUGGAGACCAAGAUGGGAAUUUUUAAAAUAAAACUAGAACUACCCCGUG
rnacentral:lncRNA from 1 species